AUACGGAGGGUGCAAGCGUUACUGGGAAUCACUGGGCGUAAAGCGCGCGCAGGCGGCUAUUUAAGUUGGAUGUGAAAGCCUACGGCUCAACCGUAGAACUGCAUCCAAAACUAUUUAGCUAGAGUGUGGGAGAGGAAGAUGGAAUUAGUUGUGUAGGGGUAAAAUCCGUAGAGAUAACUAGGAAUACCAAAAGCGAAGGCAAUCUUCUGGAACACUACUGACGCUGAGGCGCGAAAGCGUGGGGAGCAAACGGGAUUAGAAACCCCAGUAGUCC
rnacentral:rRNA from 1 species